GGAAACCUUUUAUUGAAGCUUCGGCAGAUUUAGCUGGUUUUUAGUGGCGGACGGGUGAGUAACGCGUGGGUAACCUGCCUUGUACUGGGGGACAACAGUUGGAAACGACUGCUAAUACCGCAUAAGCGCACAGCUUCGCAUGAAGCAGUGUGAAAAACUCCGGUGGUACAAGAUGGACCCGCGUCUGAUUAGCUGGUUGGUGAGGUAACGGCCCACCAAGGCGACGAUCAGUAGCCGGCCUGAGAGGGUGAACGGCCACAUUGGGACUGAGACACGGCCCAAACUCCUACGGGAGGCAGCAGUGGGGAAUAUUGCACAAUGGGGGAAACCCUGAUGCAGCAACGCCGCGUGAGUGAAGAAGUAUUUCGGUAUGUAAACUUCUAUCAGCAGGGAAGAUAGUGACGGUACCUGACUAAGAAGCCCCGGCUAACUACGUGCCAGCAGCCGCGGUAAUACGUAGGGGGCAAGCGUUAUCCGGAUUUACUGGGUGUAAAGGGAGCGUAGACGGUGUGGCAAGUCUGAUGUGAAAGGCAUGGGCUCAACCUGUGGACUGCAUUGGAAACUGUCAUACUUGAGUGCCGGAGGGGUAAGCGGAAUUCCUAGUGUAGCGGUGAAAUGCGUAGAUAUUAGGAGGAACACCAGUGGCGAAGGCGGCUUACU
rnacentral:rRNA from 1 species